rnacentral:rRNA from 1 species
CAAUAGCGUAUAUUAAAGUUGUUGCAGUUAAAAAGCUCGUAGUUGAAUUUCUGGCGGGCGCGCCGGGCUUCCAAGUGUUGUACUGGGCGCAGUCCGCCAUCCUUGUGGAGAGGGCUCGCAUUGAGUUGCGUGUCGGAUCUGCAUCAUUUACUGUGAAAAAAUUAGAGUGUUUAAAGCAGGCUGUCGCUUGAAUACAUUAGCAUGGAAUAAUAAGAUAGGACUUCGGUCUAUUUUGUUGGUUGCGAACCGAGGUAAUGAUUAAUAGGGAUAGUUGGGGGUAUUCAUAUUUAAUUGUCAGAGGUGAAAUUCUUGGAUUUAUGAAAGAUGAACAACUGCGAAAGCAUUUACCAAGGAUGUUUUCAUUA